CGAUAGUAACUGCGAGUGAAAUCGGCCAAGCCCAGCGCCGAAUCCUAUUGCUGGCAACGGUGACGGGAACUGUGGCGUGAAGAACGCUCUUACCGGUACGGUUCGUGUGCGUAAGUUCUCCUGAGUGAGGCUCCAUCCCAUGGAGGGUGCAAGGCCCGUAUCGCGCGCAACUGGUACCGGUGUAAGUGUUCGGAGAGUCGCCUUGUUUGUGAGUACAAGGUGAAGUCGGUGGUAAACUCCAUCGAAGGCUAAAUAUGACCACGAGUCCGAUAGCGAACAAGUACCGUGAGGGAAAAUUGAAAAGCACUUUGAAGAGAGAGCGAAACAGUGCGUGAAACCGCUCAGAGGCAAGCAGAUGGGGCCUCGAAGGCAAAGCAGCGAAUUCAGCUGGUGGUCUGCGUGGCCGGUCGGUUUGGAGAUCUUAACGACUCUUGCUGGCUGCGUCUGCGUAGGUGCCAGUGCACUUUCGUUGUUUGUACGCCACCGCCGUUGAGCGAGCAUCCGUCGGGUCGGCAUGUGAAGCCUUACUCCUUUACGGGCGUAGGUGCUUACAGUUGGCUUUGUACGCGUUUGCGCCUCAACCGGUCAAGUCA
rnacentral:rRNA from 1 species